AGAACAUCAUUUUUGGGUUCUGCCGUAUGGGACAGACAGACAUACUUGCACACAUUGAAUAUGCUGACAACAAAUGAAGGCUACGAGAAAGUACGUGUCGCUGUCUCGGUGAGGUUGAGGUGUCCCUUGAAGACUAAUGUGAAGAUUUCUAUUCUUGGGACACGGACUGGGCCGUAGCUCAUCCAGAGACCAGUCAUGCAGAAGACGCGAUCAUCUCCUCAGUGCACUUGUGAUGUGUGAUCAGGGAACAUAUGGAAGAUAUCAUGGCUUAUAAAGAAAAGACCACUAGGGGUCCCCAUAUCAUCCAGAACAUAAUCCUGUCUGGCUGCAGAAUCAUCUUUGUCCCAGCUGAAGCACAAGCAAGGACAAAGUCCUGUAAGUGAAGCAGCCCCAGUAAUACCGCGACGUGCUCUCCCAGCGUGUUCCUUGGC